AUUGAACGCUGGCGGCAGGCCUAACACAUGCAAGUCGAGCGGCUGAAGGGAGCUUGCUCCUGGAUUCAGCGGCGGACGGGUGAGUAAUGCCUAGGAAUCUGCCUGGUAGUGGGGGAUAACGUCCGGAAACGGGCGCUCAUACCGCAUACGUCCUUAGGGAGAAAGUGUGGGAUCUUCGGACCUCACGCUCUCAGAUGAGCCUAUGUCGGAUUAGCUAGUUGGUGGGGUAAAGGCCUACCAAGGCGACGAUCCGUAACUGGUCUGAGAGGAUGAUCAGUCACACUGGAACUGAGACACGGUCCAGACUCCUACGGGAGGCAGCAGUGGGGAAUAUUGGACAAUGGGCGAAAGCCUGAUCCAGCCAUGCCGCGUGUGUGAAGAAGGUCUUCGGAUUGUAAAGCACUUUAAGUUGGGAGGAAGGGCAGUAAGUUAAUACCUUGCUGUUUUGACGUUACCAACAGAAUAAGCACCGGCUAACUUCGUG
rnacentral:rRNA from 1 species